rnacentral:rRNA from 1 species
GACGAACGCUGGCGGCGUGCCUAAUACAUGCAAGUAGAACGCUGAAGAGAGGAGCUUGCUCUUCUUGGAUGAGUUGCGAACGGGUGAGUAACGCGUAGGUAACCUGCCUGGUAGCGGGGGAUAACUAUUGGAAACGAUAGCUAAUACCGCAUAAAAUUGAUUAUUGCAUGAUAAUUAAUUGAAAGAUGCAAUUGCAUCACUACCAGAUGGACCUGCGUUGUAUUAGCUAGUUGGUGAGGUAACGGCUCACCAAGGCGACGAUACAUAGCCGACCUGAGAGGGUGAUCGGCCGCACUGGGACUGAGACACGGCCCAGACUCCUACGGGAGGCAGCAGUAGGGAAUCUUCGGCAAUGGGGGGAACCCUGACCGAGCAACGCCGCGUGAGUGAAGAAGGUUUUCGGAUCGUAAAGCUCUGUUGUAAGAGAAGAACGGGUGUGAGAGUGGAAAGUUCACACUGUGACGGUAUCUUACCAGAAAGGGACGGCUAACUACGUGCCAGCAGCCGCGGUAAUACGUAGGUCCCGAGCGUUGUCCGGAUUUAUUGGGCGUAAAGCGAGCGCAGGCGGUUAGAUAAGUCUGAAGUUAAAGGCUGUGGCUUAACCAUAGUAUGCUUUGGAAACUGUUUAACUUGAGUGCAGAAGGGGAGAGUGGAAUUCCAUGUGUAGCGGUGAAAUGCGUAGAUAUAUGGAGGAACACCGGUGGCGAAAGCGGCUCUCUGGUCUGUAACUGACGCUGAGGCUCGAAAGCGUGGGGAGCAAACAGGAUUAGAUACCCUGGUAGUCCACGCCGUAAACGAUGAGUGCUAGGUGUUAGGCCCUUUCCGGGGCUUAGUGCCGCAGCUAACGCAUUAAGCGCUCCGCCUGGGGAGUACGACCGCAAGGUUGAAACUCAAAGGAAUUGACGGGGGCCCGCACAAGCGGUGGAGCAUGUGGUUUAAUUCGAAGCAACGCGAAGAACCUUACCAGGUCUUGACAUCCCUCUGACCGCUCUAGAGAUAGAGUUUUCCUUCGGGACAGAGGUGACAGGUGGUGCAUGGUUGUCGUCAGCUCGUGUCGUGAGAUGUUGGGUUAAGUCCCGCAACGAGCGCGACCCCUAUUGUUAGUUGCCAUCAUUCAGUUGGGCACUCUAGCGAGACUGCCGGUAAUAAACCGGAGGAAGGUGGGGAUGACGUCAAAUCAUCAUGCCCCUUAUGACCUGGGCUACACACGUGCUACAAUGGCUGGUACAACGAGUCGCAAGCCGGUGACGGCAAGCUAAUCUCUGAAAGCCAGUCUCAGUUCGGAUUGUAGGCUGCAACUCGCCUACAUGAAGUCGGAAUCGCUAGUAAUCGCGGAUCAGCACGCCGCGGUGAAUACGUUCCCGGGCCU